UCCUCAUUAAUCUCGUGAGGAACCUAGCAUGUGCUGUCUUUGGAGAGCGGGCCAUUCAUAGCAUGAAAUUAUCACAUGGUUCCAGUGAGGUGAAAGCUGCUGCCGACAUUUUGAACAUUAAGCAACAGGAAUUGGACAUCCAGCGCAGGGAAGUGCAUGCCCUUCUCCUUGCUAAGGGUAUUUCUGCCGACAAUGCUGAGUGUGUGCCAGAAGCAAUAGUCAGAUCAUCUCCUAGGGCUUCUUUCGUUCUUUUUGGGCAUUCUUCAUAGCUUCAAGGUUGUCUCCUCUUGGCUUGGUGAUCGAUUAUCUUGGCACAUGGUUCUGUUCCCUUGGAGACCAUAGGCUGCAUGGAUCUUUAGCAUGUGCAGUUUUAUCUUGCUUUGACUGUAGUUUUUUUUUUCUUUUUCUUUUGGACACUUUAACGACCAUGUCGUUAUAACUUUGUAAUGUAGUGUUGAAUCACUGGAGCUUGUAUUAAUUUCUGAAUGCUUGAGGCAUGUUGUAAUCUGCAUGUCUUAUAUAUA